rnacentral:misc_RNA from 1 species
GGAUUAAUAUAUGCAAAAUGUAAGGUGUCCAAUAAAGCAUACUCGAACUUGAUAUACAAAUGAUGGACUAAAGGGUUGAUGUGAUGUCUUGCAGUGUGUUUGCCUUGUUAAGCUUGCAUUUGUUCAUGUAUGGAUGCAACCUCUUCAUGUGGAAGAGUACAAGGAUCAACUACAAUUUCAUUUUUGAAUUUCAACCCCGCACAGCCCUCAAAUAUAGAGAUGCCUUUCUUAUUUGUACCACUUUCAUGACCUCUGUUGUCUCUGCAAUGGUAAUCCAUCUUCUUUUAAGGGCUAAUGGUUUUUCAUCCACCCAUGUUGAUGCCAUCCCUGGAAUUCUACUCCUGAUUUUCAUGGCAUUGCUUAUCUGCCCAUUUGACUUCUUCUAUCGCCCAACACGGUACUGCUUCCUUCGUGUAAUUCGCAACAUUAUCUGCUCUCCAUUUUAUAAGGUUUUGAUGGUAGACUUUUUCAUGGCAGAUCAACUUACCAGCCAGAUUCCACUGAUGAGGCACUUGGAAUCUACGGCAUGCUACUUUCUAGCAGGGAGUUUUCGAACACAGAGAUACGAAACCUGCCACAGUGGAAGGCUAUAUAGGGAGCUUGCUUAUGUCAUUUCAUUUUUGCCCUACUAUUGGCGAGCUAUGCAGGUAACACCACUUGAUAGCUUGGAAAAUUUUCUUGCACAGAACUUCUACACAUGCAGCAAAUAGCUCAUUUUGUUUUCAAUAUGGAAGUGUGCAAGAAGAUGGUUUGAUGAAAGUGACGUUAACCAAUUGGCAAACAUGGGGAAGUAUGUUUCUGCUAUGGUGGCAGCCGGAGCCAGGCUAACUUAUGCUAGGCAGGAGAAUCACCUAUGGCUUGGUAUAGUGUUGGUUACUUCUGCUGUUGCUACAGUUUAUCAGUUAUACUGGGAUUUUGUCAAGGAUUGGGGCCUUUUCAACCCAAAAUCCAAGAAUCUAUGGCUAAGAGAUGAUUUGAUCCUAAAGAACAAGAGCAUCUACUACAUUUCCAUUGCUUUGAACAUAGUUCUGAGAGUUGUUUGGGUGGAGACUGUAAUGCGGUUCCGUUUCAAUAUUUUUGAGUCACGCAUGUUGGACUUUUUCUUGGCUUCUUUGGAGGUUAUUCGGCGAGGCCAUUGGAAUUUCUAUAGGCUGGAGAACGAGCACCUGAACAAUGUUGGCAAGUUCAGGGCAGUGAAGGCAGUACCCUUACCAUUCCGCGAGACAGAUUCAGAUGGCUGAAACUAUAUUCUACAAACUUUUAUGGAAAUGCCUGAAGAUUUCAUGCUGGGAAAAGUCCCUAGCAUUCUGACAUUAAGGGGCGUUCAAAACUUUGCUGCUACAGUUAGACUGGGAUCCACAUCUUAUGUGGGGGGAAAAAGCCUGAUUAUCCUUGUCAUUCUUCACAGAUACAAUUAAGUCUGUGAAUUGUAUAGCUCUCCAAGUUUAUUGAAGAAAGAAAGUAUCAAAUAACAUAUUAAGUUUUGUACAUUUGUAAACUCUUUCAAUUCGGUUCUGUCCUUUUCCCUGUGAUAAUGAACUUGAAGAUCUAAUUUCACAUGUAAGAAAAUUUGAAAUUUUCGCAACAGUAGAUUUUUGAUCUGUC